AAAAUAAAAACAAAGAUAGACUAUGCCAGUGACCAUUUGCUUACAUUUUGAAACGCAUUGCUUAGCGGGAAAUCUGAAUGAGCGGUACUCUGUAUCAAUGGAGGAGGAGAAAAGGGUGAUGAUGUCGCUGAAAAGUAAGAAGAGAGCUCGGCAUAGCAGAGAAUUACCUCCAAAAGAAAGCGAUGAUAUAGAGGACAUCAGUUUCUCUAAAGAUGAAACCCUACAGAUUAGGGCUUCUCUAUUGGAAUGGUAUGAUGAAAAUCAAAGAGACCUUCCUUGGAGAAGAAUCAGUGGUGGUUCUGAUGAGAGAGAUAAAAGGGGUUAUGCCGUCUGGGUUUCUGAAGUAAUGCUUCAGCAAACUAGGGUUUCAACUGUCAUUGAUUAUUUCAAACGCUGGAUGAACAAAUGGCCUACUCUUCAUCAUCUUGCUCAAGCUUCUCUUGAGGAGGUGAAUGAAAUGUGGGCUGGUUUGGGGUAUUAUAGACGAGUUCGCUUCUUAUUACAGGGUGCAAAAGAGGUGGUUGAAGAAGGAGGUAGUUUUCCAGAGACAGUUUCAGAACUUCGCAAGAUCAAAGGAAUUGGUGAAUACACUGCUGGUGCUAUUGCCUCAAUUGCCUUCAAAAAGGCAGUGCCUGUUGUUGAUGGGAAUGUGGUCAGGGUUAUUUCUAGGCUGAAGGCCAUAUCAGCGAAUCCAAAAGACACUGCGACAGUUAAGAGUUUUUGGAAACUUGCAGGACAAUUAGUUGAUCCUUGUAGGCCUGGAGAUUUCAACCAAGCUCUUAUGGAACUUGGAGCUACGUUGUGCUCUCUUUCGAAUCCAGGUUGUGCUGUGUGCCCCAUCUCUGCGAAAUGUCAUGCUUUGUCGCUCUCUAGGCAGAAUGAGUCAGUUCAUGUUUCAGAUUAUCCAACAAAAGUUGUGAAGGCCAAACAAAGGCAUGAGUUUUCUGCUGUUAGUGUUGUAGAGAUACUGGAUUGCCAGGAAAUGACGGGAUCUCAAUCCAACAGCAAAUAUAUUCUUGUAAAAAGACCAAAUGAGGGUCUACUUGCCGGCCUCUGGGAGUUUCCAUCAAUUCUCUUGGAGAAGGAAGCAGACCUGGCCUCGAGAAGAAAAGCGAUUGAUAACUUUUUACAGUCGUCAUUCAAUCUGGAUCUUAAAGAGUCUACUAGAAUAGUUUCACGAGAAGAUAUUGGAGAAUUUGUCCACGUCUUCAGUCAUAUACGCCUCAAGAUGUACGUAGAGUUAUUGGUCUUACAUCCAAAAGGUAAUCGAAGCAUCGAAGACGAAAAACUGGACAAAGAGAGUAUUACAUGGAAGUAUGUUGAUGGCAAAAACCUUGAUAGCAUGGGAUUGACAUCUGGAGUAAGAAAGGUUUAUACCAUGGUACAGAAACACAAGCAAACUGAACAGGCUACCAUCCCCGGAAGGAGGAGGAAGACAGCAGUAAGAAGAUAGAGAUGGUACUGGCAGAGUGGCUGUGCCAAGAAUACCUUAACUUGACCCUCAGGAAUGGAAAUUUAGGCAUGAAGACAUCAUUGUGCAGGUGUUUGAGAAUUGGUGUAUAACAGAACAUACAGAUGCUAAAUUAUUGUAUCUUACUGACAUGUGUUUCCAAGCUCAGUCUGCUUUAUCAAGUGGAUGUGUAACCAGUGCAAGCGGUUUCAGGGAUCUAAUGGUUGUAAAAUAGUCUGUCUACAGGCAUAGUUUCUUGGAGCUUAAUCUCUUUUGUUCCUUUUCACCAUUUUGGUUGGUUUUCUUCUUUUAGAUGUAAGGAAUGGUAACCAGAAAUUGAUUUUUUUGAUUAACUAAGUAACAACUUUUCAAUGAGAGUGUUACAUCUCCUG